rnacentral:rRNA from 1 species
UGGGGAAUUGUUCGCAAUGGGCGCAAGCCUGACGACGCAACGCCGCGUGGAGGAUGAAGGUCUUCGGAUUGUAAACUCCUGUUGAUCGGGACGAAUGGGCCCUGACCUAACAGGUCGGGGCAGUGACGGUACCGAUUGAGGAAGCCACGGCUAACUCUGUGCCAGCAGCCGCGGUAAUACAGAGGUGGCAAGCGUUGUUCGGAAUUACUGGGCGUAAAGGGCGCGUAGGCGGCCUUGUCAGUCAGACGUGAAAUCCCCAGGCUUAACUUGGGAACUGCGUCUGAUACUACAAGGCUGGAGUUCGGGAGAGGGAUGUGGAAUUCCAGGUGUAGCGGUGAAAUGCGUAGAUAUCUGGAGGAACACCGGUGGCGAAGGCGGCAUCCUGGACCGAAACUGACGCUGAUGCGCGAAAGCCAGGGGAGCAAACGGGAUUAGAUACCCCGGUAGUCCUGGCCCUAAACGAUGAGUGCUUGGUGUGGCGGGUAUCGAUCCCUGCCGUGCCGAAGCUAACGCAUUAAGCACUCCGCCUGGGGAGUACGGUCGCAAGGCUGA